AGUGAACGCUGGCGGUAGGCCUAACACAUGCAAGUCGAACGGCAGCACAGGAGAGCUCGCUCUCUGGGUGGCGAGUGGCGGACGGGUGAGGAAUACAUCGGAAUCUACCUUUUCGUGGGGGAUAACGUAGGGAAACUUACGCUAAUACCGCAUACGACCUACGGGUGAAAGUGGGGGACCGCAAGGCCUCACGCGAUUAGAUGAGCCGAUGUCCGAUUAGCUAGUUGGCGGGGUAAUGGCCCACCAAGGCGACGAUCGGUAGCUGGUCUGAGAGGAUGAUCAGCCAAACUGGAACUGAGACACGGUCCAGACUCUACGGGAGGCAGCAGUGGGGAAUAUUGGACAAUGGGCGCAAGCCUGAUCCAGCCAUACCGCGUGGGUGAAGAAGGCCUUCGGGUUGUAAAGCCCUUUUGUUGGGAAAGAAAUCCUGUCGAUUAAUACUCGGUGGGGAUGACGGUACCCAAAGAAUAAGCACCGGCUAACUUCGUGCCAGCAGCCGCCGUAAAAC
rnacentral:rRNA from 1 species